AUUAAUGGCCAUACCACCCUGAACACGCCCGAUCUCGUUUGAUCUUGGAAGCUAAGCAGGAUCGGGCCGGGAUAAUACUGGCGAGGCGCGGUGGCUCAUGCCUAUAAUC
rnacentral:rRNA from 1 species